GAUGAACGCUAGCGGCAGGCUUAAUACAUGCAAGUCGAGGGACAGCACAGGUAGCAAUACUGGGUGGUAACCGGCAAACGGGUGCGGAACACGUACACAACCUUCCUUUAAGUGGGGGAUAGCCCAGAGAAAUUUGGAUUAAUACCCCGUAAUAUAGUUGAAUGGCAUCAUUUGAUUAUUAUAGCUACGGCGCUUAAUGAUGGGUGUGCGGCUGAUUAGAUAGUUGGCGGGGUAACGGCCCACCAAGUCUACGAUCCGUAGCUGGUCUGAGAGGAUGAUCAGCCACACUGGGACUGAGACACGGCCCAGACUCCUACGGGAGGCAGCAGUGGGGAAUCUUGGACAAUGGGCGCAAGCCUGAUCCAGCCAUGCCGCGUGAGUGAAGAAGGCCUUCGGGUUGUAAAGCUCUUUCGGCCGGGACGAAAUCGCUUCCGCUAAUAUCGGGAGUGGAUGACGGUACCGGAAUAAGAAGCACCGGCUAACUACGUGCCAGCAGCCGCGGUAACAC
rnacentral:rRNA from 1 species